AAGAUGGCAAAAACAUGUCACAGCCUAAAAUGAGUCAUGAUUGGCGCUCAGGAAAAUAGUCCCCUAGCAAGCCUAACAGAUUCGAAUAUAACAUAAAUAAGGUUAUAAAUAUUUUUGAUAAAUUUACAGUUUCAAGAAUGAAUAAUUACAUUUUUAACAAAAAUAAAAUAUAGAUGGAUGCUGUGACAUAUAGAGCAGAUGACGUCUAAGAACUCAACAAAGAAUAGAUACCCUUUGCAAAUCAUUAAUCUUGAAUAGAAACUAGAAAGGCUCACAUAAUCAAAUAUUUAUUCUUGAAAAAUUAUUUUUAAAAAACAGUAAAUUUCAUUUAUCGAUUAUGUAAAGAAAUUCUCAAAUGUUGGAUACACAAUAUAUAUAUACAUUCCCUGUCUUUGAAUUUAUAAGAAUGAUUUUUUUUAGAAUAACAGAGGAUAUUUCUACAACUACAAAGUGAGAGGUUUCCGAAUGAAUGAAAAAAAAAAAGAAUGCAAAUUUAUAUCAGUCCAACUAGUUCAUAAUGUCUAAAGAAAGAGAGAGGUAUUUUCUUUUGAGGAGAAGGAAAUUUAUGCAUGUAUAAUUUAAUUGUGGUGGUAUGAGAACCGUGAAGUUAGAUAAUUACCAGCUCAGAAAUCUGUAUUCAGAAAAUUUGAUGGUUAUAUACUACAAGUUAUAAAAGAAAAAUUAUAAAGAAACAAGAGUGAUUGUUGGCUAUAAUACUACAAGUUAUAAAAGAAAAAUUUUUCCAUACACAUAAUACCCUGAAUUUACAUAACAAUAACCCUGUAUAUUUGUAGCUAUCCUCUUCAAUUCAGUCCAAAAAGAUCAAAUAUUCUAUGACAAUGCUUUUUCUUGAAUAAUUUGAAUCCCACUGCAGGUUAAUAUAUGUACAAACUGCACAUACCAAGAUAAAGAUCAAUGAGUGAAGUUGAUAGGAAUGAAAUUGCUCCUGAUGGCAUCACCAGAACUUCACCUUCUAAUGACUAUUUCAGGUACAGGAUUGUCAUCUUUAAAUGUGGAAAGCAUAUUCUUGAAUCAUGUCUGCAUUAGCUACAUACCUUCAUCGCCUUGUGAAUUUGUC